rnacentral:rRNA from 1 species
CCUACGGGAGGCAGCAGUGGGGAAUAUUGCACAAUGGGCGAAAGCCUGAUGCAGCAACGCCGCGUGAGCGAUGAAGGACUUCGGGUCGUAAAGCUCUGUCCUCAAGGAAGAUAAUGACGGUACUUGAGGAGGAAGCCACGUCUAACUACGUGCAAGCAGCCGCGGUAAUACGUAGGGGGCUAGCGUUAUCCGGAUUUACUGGGCGAAAGGGGUGCGUAGGGGGUUUCUUAAGUCAGAGGUGAAAGGCUAAGGCUCAACCGUAGUAAGCCUUUGAAACUGGGAAACUUGAGUGCAGGAGAGGAGAGUGGAAUUCCUAGUGUAGCGGUGAAAUGCGUAGAUAUUAGGAGGAACACCAGUUGCGAAGGCGGCUUUCUGGACUGUAACUGACACUGAGGCACGAAAGCGUGGGGAGCAAACAGGAUUAGAUACCCUGGUAGUC